rnacentral:rRNA from 1 species
CAGUCGCCGCGGUAAUACGAAGGGGGCUAGCGUUGUUCGGAUUUACUGGGCGUAAAGGGCGCGUAGGCGGACUGAUAAGUCAGGGGUGAAAUCCCAAGGCUCAACCUUGGAACUGCCUUUGAUACUGUUUGUCUUGAGUUCGAGAGAGGUAAGUGGAACUGCGAGUGUAGAGGUGAAAUUCGUAGAUAUUCGCAAGAACACCAGUGGCGAAGGCGGCUUACUGGCUCGAUACUGACACUGAGGCGCGAAAGCGUGGGGAGCGAACAGGAUUAGAUACCCCUGUAGUCCCUGUCUCUUAUAA